UGGCAGGCUGGCAGCCAAGCGUUCAUGGCGACGUUGCUUUUUGAUCCUUCGAUGUCGGCUCUUCCUAUCAUGCUGAAGCAGAAUUCAGUGAGCGUUGGAUUAUUCACUCAGUGACAAGACGCCAGAAAGAUCAAGGCACUCUAGGUU
rnacentral:ncRNA from 1 species